GGUCAAGUGAAGAAGCGCAUACGGUGGAUGCCUUGGCAGUCAGAGGCGAUGAAAGACGUGGUAGCCUGCGAAAAGCUUCGGGGAGUCGGCAAACAGACUGUGAUCCGGAGAUGUCUGAAUGGGGGAACCCAGCCAUCAUAAGAUGGUUAUCUUACACUGAAUACAUAGGUGUAAGAGGCGAACCAGGGGAACUGAAACAUCUAAGUACCCUGAGGAAAAGAAAUCAACCGAGAUUCCCUUAGUAGUGGCGAGCGAACGGGGACCAGCCCUUAAGUUGUAUUGAGAUUAGCGGAACGCUCUGGAAAGGGCGGCCAUAGUGGGUGAUAGCCCUGUACGCGAAAAUCCCUUUGCAAUGAAAUCGAGUAGGACGGGGCACGAGAAACCUUGUCUGAAUAUGGGGGGACCAUCCUCCAAGGCUAAAUACUACUGACUGACCGAUAGUGAACCAGUACCGUGAGGGAAAGGCGAAAAGAACCGCGGAGAGCGGAGUGAAAUAGAUCCUGAAACCGUAUGCGUACAAGCAGUGGGAGCCCACUUUGUUGGGUGACUGCGUACCUUUUGUAUAAUGGGUCAGCGACUUAUUUUCAGUGGCGAGCUUAACCGAAUAGGGGAGGCGUAGCGAAAGCGAGUCUUAAUAGGGCGUCUAGUCGCUGGGAAUAGACCCGAAACCGGGCGAUCUAUCCAUGGGCAGGUUGAAGGUUGGGUAACACUAACUGGAGGACCGAACCGACUACCGUUGAAAAGUUAGCGGAUGACCUGUGGAUCGGAGUGAAAGGCUAAUCAAGCUCGGAGAUAGCUGGUUCUCCUCGAAAGCUAUUUAGGUAGCGCCUCAUGUAUCACUGUAGGGGGUAGAGCACUGUUUCGGCUAGGGGGUCAUCCCGACUUACCAAACCGAUGCAAACUCCGAAUACCUACAAGUGCCGAGCAUGGGAGACACACGGCGGGUGCUAACGUCCGUCGUGAAAAGGGAAACAACCCAGACCGUCAGCUAAGGUCCCAAAGUCAUGGUUAAGUGGGAAACGAUGUGGGAAGGCUUAGACAGCUAGGAGGUUGGCUUAGAAGCAGCCACCCUUUAAAGAAAGCGUAAUAGCUCACUAGUCGAGUCGGCCUGCGCGGAAGAUGUAACGGGGCUCAAACCAUGCACCGAAGCUACGGGUAUCAUCUUUUGAUGAUGCGGUAGAGGAGCGUUCUGUAAGCCUGUGAAGGUGAGUUGAGAAGCUUGCUGGAGGUAUCAGAAGUGCGAAUGCUGACAUGAGUAACGACAAUGGGUGUGAAAAACACCCACGCCGAAAGACCAAGGUUUCCUGCGCAACGUUAAUCGACGCAGGGUUAGUCGGUCCCUAAGGCGAGGCUGAAAAGCGUAGUCGAUGGAAAACAGGUUAAUAUUCCUGUACUUCUGGUUAUUGCGAUGGAGGGACGGAGAAGGCUAGGCCAGCCUGGCGUUGGUAGUCCAGGUUUAAGGUGGUAGGCUGAGAUCUUAGGUAAAUCCGGGAUCUUAAGGCCGAGAGCUGAUGACGAGUGUUCUUUUAGAACAUGAAGUGGUUGAUGCCAUGCUUCCAAGAAAAGCUUCUAAGCUUCAGGUAACCAGGAACCGUACCCCAAACCGACACAGGUGGUUGGGUAGAGAAUACCAAGGCGCUUGAGAGAACUCGGGUGAAGGAACUAGGCAAAAUGGCACCGUAACUUCGGGAGAAGGUGCGCCGGUGAGGGUGAAGCAUUUACUGCGUAAGCCCACGCCGGUCGAAGAUACCAGGCCGCUGCGACUGUUUAUUAAAAACACAGCACUCUGCAAACACGAAAGUGGACGUAUAGGGUGUGACGCCUGCCCGGUGCCGGAAGGUUAAUUGAUGGGGUUAGCGCAAACGAAGCUCUUGAUCGAAGCCCCGGUAAACGGCGGCCGUAACUAUAACGGUCCUAAGGUAGCGAAAUUCCUUGUCGGGUAAGUUCCGACCUGCACGAAUGGCGUAACGAUGGCGGCGCUGUCUCCACCCGAGACUCAGUGAAAUUGAAAUCGCUGUGAAGAUGCAGUGUAUCCGCGGCUAGACGGAAAGACCCCGUGAACCUUUACUAUAGCUUUGCACUGGACUUUGAAUUUGCUUGUGUAGGAUAGGUGGGAGGCUUUGAAGCGUGGACGCCAGUCUGCGUGGAGCCAACCUUGAAAUACCACCCUGGCAACUUUGAGGUUCUAACUCAGGUCCGUUAUCCGGAUCGAGGACAGUGUAUGGUGGGUAGUUUGACUGGGGCGGUCUCCUCCUAAAGAGUAACGGAGGAGUACGAAGGUGCGCUCAGACCGGUCGGAAAUCGGUCGUAGAGUAUAAAGGCAAAAGCGCGCUUGACUGCGAGACAGACACGUCGAGCAGGUACGAAAGUAGGUCUUAGUGAUCCGGUGGUUCUGUAUGGAAGGGCCAUCGCUCAACGGAUAAAAGGUACUCCGGGGAUAACAGGCUGAUACCGCCCAAGAGUUCAUAUCGACGGCGGUGUUUGGCACCUCGAUGUCGGCUCAUCACAUCCUGGGGCUGAAGCCGGUCCCAAGGGUAUGGCUGUUCGCCAUUUAAAGUGGUACGCGAGCUGGGUUUAGAACGUCGUGAGACAGUUCGGUCCCUAUCUGCCGUGGACGUUUGAGAUUUGAGAGGGGCUGCUCCUAGUACGAGAGGACCGGAGUGGACGAACCUCUGGUGUUCCGGUUGUCACGCCAGUGGCAUUGCCGGGUAGCUAUGUUCGGAAAAGAUAACCGCUGAAAGCAUCUAAGCGGGAAACUUGCCUCAAGAUGAGAUCUCACUGGAACCUUGAGUUCCCUGAAGGGCCGUCGAAGACUACGACGUUGAUAGGUUGGGUGUGUAAGCGCUGUGAGGCGUUGAGCUAACCAAUACUAAUUGCCCGUGAGGCUUGACCAUAUAACACCC
rnacentral:rRNA from 1 species